GGUCUCCAACUAAACUCAUUCAGACAGUUUCAGCUCAAGAAUCAAUAAACAUUAUCUAUACUUUCAGUUAUCUGCGCACGUGUCUAAAACAGACGUACGAGUCCGUGUUUUGUAUCAGGUAAUUGUUUGAUACUUGUUUACUUCUUUGGAAGAACCUUGACAAAGUGAACUUUCUACCCUCUUAAUUGUGACUGAAACCAUGCCAAGAGGAAACAAACAGAAAAAAAUAUGAGCUUUGGACAAGAUAAGGUAACAGGAAGGCUCUAUAUUAUAACUUACUGAAAACAGAAAGAAAGGGGCAGGACUUGUUGCUGUUUAUAAAGAUUAGGAGUACCAUUACCAAACACAGAUAAAAAGCAGUCGCAAAGAGAAGAAGGUUAGUAACUCACUGGUACACGGCGCAUUUAACAGUAAAUCAGUCUACAAUUCUAAAUACAGAUCCUACACCAUCAUCAGAACAAGAUGAAGACACUGGCAUUGCUCUCUCUGAGCCUCGCAGUGGUUCUGGGAAUGCCACCAUUGUCCCCAGAUCUAGGUCCAGUUCCUGUCUUUAUUGAAAAACUCCAGGACCCUCUGGUGGGAGAUGUGCCUCCUGCGCAGGGUCAUGUGGUGGUGGAAGAUCCUGCACCACAAGUCAGGCUCGGCUCCGAGGAGCAGCAGGAACAGUUGGCUCCGGUGCCAGCCGACAUCGAGAAGAGUCAGAAUAAGGAAGAACUAGAGGUUAAGGCGAAGUCAGAAGUUGGAGUGGAGCAAGAGGGUGAAGUAAAGACAGAGGUUAAGAAGGAGUCAGAAGUUAAGGUGGAGCAGGAGCUUAAAGCAGAGCCAGAAGUUAAGGUGGAGCCAGAAGUUAAGGUGGAGCCAGAGGUUAAGGUUGAGCCAGAAGUUAAGGUGGAGCCAGAGGUUAAGGUGGAGCCAGAGGUUAAGGUGGAGCCAGAGGUUAAGGCCGAGCAGGAGCUCAAAGCAGAGCCAGAAGUCGAGCCAGAGCAAGAAUUUAAGGUGGAUUUAGAAGCUAAUGUGGAAACAGAAGCAGAACAAGAGGUCUUCGUGGAGCCAGAGUUCGAAGAUGUGCCAGACUUUAAGGUGGAAUCAGAGGUUAAGGUGGAGCCACAUGUUCUAGAGGAGACUGUGCCCAUGUUUAAUGAGGAGCAAGAGUAUCAAGCAAUUCAAGAGUCUCAGGUGCAAAUGAACCUCGAGCCAGAGAUUGAAACAGGUCGGGAGUUCGACGAGAGACACAUUGACAUGGAGCAAAAUAAUGAAAUGGUGAGCGAAGACGUGCCAGACUUUAAGGUGGAAUCGGAGGUUAAUGUGGAGCCAGAUGUUCUAGAGGAGACAGAGCCCAUGUUUAAUGAGGAGCAGGAGUAUCAAGCAAUUCAGGGGGAGUUUCAGGUCGAGAUGAGCCUCGAGCCAGAGAUUGAAACAGGUCGGGAAUUUGACGAGACACACGCUGACAUGGUGCGGAAAUAUGAAAUAGAGAGUGAACCAAUCAUGGAGCUGGUGCCACUGGAUGAUGACAACAUGUUUGGAGACGAGCUGAGCGACAGUCAGCUGUCUGAAGUGGAACAAUCUUUGAGGGCGGCAUUUGAGAAUCCAGAUCUUAUCAUGGAACUGCUGCCAGAGGAGGAGGAGCUUAUGAGGGAGAGUGACCACGUUUUAGAUGAAGAACCAAUCAGGGAACUGGAGCCUGAGAGGAGGGAAGAACAGUUUGUGCCAGAUGCUGCUAUCAUGGAAGAAGGGCCAGCAUUGGACAUUAUGGGGCAGCCGAUACAACCUUUAGAGCAGUAUUUCCCCAAUGAAGAAGCUCAGAUCGGGAUGGAGCGUGGCUCUCUCAUAGCAGACGGGUUAGACUAUUCGAUGCCAGAAAUGGAAGACAGUCCUGUGCUGUUAGAUGGACAGUAUUUCAAUUAAGUGUAUUUAAAAUACAGAUUCAAUUACAUUUGAGUAAUUUGUCAUUUGUAUUUUGCUGGGCAGAAAAAAAUAUGGUAUUUGUAACAAAUAAGACACAAUAUUAUCACAAGGUUUAAACCGUGGAGAACAAAAAAACAAGUGCAACAAUUAGCCUAAUCGCAGCCUGAAUGCAAGUGAAUUACAUGAUAUGUCUUGUGUUAUGUUAUGUUAUGAUCAGAAACGAAAAGAAGUUUUUUUAUGAUGUGAAUAAAGUGUUUUUUUAUUCUUGAGCUUGUUGUGAUUAUUGCCACUUAUAGAAAAAAGUGUUUUUGAAACUGAAGUAUAUAAUAAU
rnacentral:lncRNA from 15 species